rnacentral:rRNA from 1 species
AACAUGUCUUUUUGAUAAUAAUUUAAAGUCUAACCUGCCCACUGAUUUAUUUGAAGGGCCGCGGUAUUUUGACUGUGCAAAGGUAGCAUAAUCAUUAGUCUUUUAAUUGAAGGCUUGUAUGAAUGGUUGGAUGAAGUAUUAACUGUCUCAAUUUAAUAAAUAAUAGAAUUUUAUUUUUAAGUUAAAAAGCUUAAAUAAUUUUAAAAGACGAGAAGACCCUAUAGAUCUUUAUAUUUGAUUUUUUAAUAAUUUUUUGGAAUUAAAUUUAUUUUUAAAUUUUGUAAUAUUGAGUUGGGGUGAUUAAAAAAUUUAAUAAACUUUUUUUAGAAAUUUGAACAAUAAUUUUUGAAAAAUUGAUCCAUUUUUUGUGAUUAUAAGAUUAAGUUACCUUAGGGAUAACAGCGUAAUUUUUUUGGAGAGUUCAUAUCGAUAAAAAAGAUUGCGACCUCGAUGUUGAAUUAAAGGUUAAUUUUAGGUGUAGAAGUUUAAAAUUUUGGUC